rnacentral:lncRNA from 1 species
AAGCAGCCCCUGGGGCUGGUCAGCAGGAUGAGAACAAAGCAGCAGCGUGUAAACGGGCGGGCGGAGCUGCCCCUGGGAGUAGGCAGAAAGGCAGUGAGUGGGAGGGCAGCUAACAGAAGUAACCUGCGCUGAGCACUCGAGGUGUGGGGGAGGGACUCGACUCCUCUGUCAGUGGAAGGCAGAUACAUGGGAGCCGUGCCAGCUGCCAGUACAGGACAACAUCCAUCGUCUACAUGUGGUGGGGGAGGCUGGGUCAGACGCCCCGUUUCAGACGAAUGAGAUCUGGAGAAGCAAGGCUGCACUGCAUCCGAAACAAACCCAGAGGUGCUGAUUUAAAAGGAGAGACCCAGUGCUGUAACCUGCCCACUCCUCCCCCUGAGCCUCCUGGGCUGACCCUGGGGCAGAUCCACAUGGGGGCCUUAGCCUUGCCCUCCCUCAGAGCCGUAGCCAGAAACUGUCCCUGUGCUGGGGGGGACAGGGCAAAAGGACUGCUACUGGAUCCGGCUCUUCUGAAUGGAGCAUGUGGGGGGUUCUCCCUGACCUCCACCGGCCAUGAGCUGUGAACUACCCAAUCUGCAUCCCACACCACUGCUGAUGGAACCAGUUACUCAGUCCAGUGACGGUGAAUGGCCCUGCUCUAACAUGAGAAUUCCCGCCACUGUUUUUGGGAUCUAUGCCAAUUUUCACUUGUCUACUCAGGUAUUUAUACUUCGCUCAUUCCUGUGGUGUCUGAGCACUGAGGGUGAAAUCCUGGCUCCAGUGAAGUGAAUGGCAAAACUCUCAUUAAGUUCAGUAUGUCCAGAAAUUCAUCUUUUACUUCCCUCUAUCCAACUCUCCUCUUCAUGGCCAAGGUGAACCAUGUUUCUGGUUCAGUAUCCUUUUCAUAACAAGUGAAAAUUAGAUGUUGUAUUCAGUAUAUACACGGUGUGACUUUUCUUAGUGUUUUCCUACUAAGCUCACACGACGUGUGGCUAGCAGAAGCUAUGCCGGCUGCCUCUGCUGGCAUACUGGAAGGUGAGCAGGGAUCAGAGGAAAGGGUUCCCUACCUUGCUGUCAUGCCUGCAGAUCUUGUAAAGAGCACAGGGCUUAAGGAAGGACAACCACAGACAUUGCAAGAUGCAAGAGGGCUGCAUUAAUGCAUCAUAAAUCGCACAGUUCAGGGGGCAGAAUUACUGUUGAUCCUGCAACCCUAACUUGAGCAUUUCCUGAGAACUGAGUGCUUCACUGGAUAACCUUAACAUUCACCCAGUGUCGCAUUUUGUGCAGAACAUUCUAAUGGUAAUGGUGGCAUUUGUAACAGACUUUAAUCGAGUGAAGAGGGGAAAAGAUGGCAAUUAAGGCUUACGUUAGCUCUAGCUUUUUUAACAGAAGACCUCAUAGUUCAAAG